UGUUUCAAUAAACCGUACGUAAAUAUGUGCUUUUUUUAUCGUUUCUGCGAAAGUGGAAAGCUGAAGAUUAUUUCUAUUAAUUUAAAUUUACAUGAGAAUAUGUACGUUCCCUUUCAUUGAUGAAAAAUUAAAUACUUAAUCAUAUCGGUAUUAAGUAUUCUUAGGCGUAGGUACGAGUAAUAUGUAGUUUUUGCUUUUAGUUCAACUUCAAAAGUUCCUGAUUCGAUUGGGUAGGAAAUUAUCAACUUGCUGAUUUGAAAAUUGUCUGAAUAUGACAGUAAUUUCUACGCAGGUUUUAGGACUAAGGAGAAUAACAAUUGCAAUUUUCGGAAGUAUGUUUAGGCAAUGAAUUUAAGUUAGUGUGACCUAUUAGAAUUUAAACUAGAUAUGCACAUUUGAUGACUUUUCUCCCUAUCUGUCAAGGGCUUCUGCCUGUACUGACGAUUGGCAGCAUUCACGUUCGCAGAUUUGCCUACUCCUAUUUUAUCAGGGAUUACAUUUUACAAAUGUUUGUGCUGUACUGUUGUAUAAUUUGAAAGGCAUCAACCUGGGUCCAUUUCAGUUUAGAUACUUGGAAAGUUAUGAAGAACAGAUGCUAACAAGUUAGUAAGUAAGUAAGUAAGUAAGUAAGUAUAAGUAAGUACAUUUCAACUGAUUUAUUCAUCAAAGACUGAUUGCAAUAUGUAAUUUAUGGUGGAAUGCGAAAAAAAAAUAGUCGGAGAUUUAUGACCAAUUUCAGUGGAGACCUUCAGUCCGAAAGUCACCCGGAAAUUUUUUUAGCUCUGGAAGUGCCCUCGGAGGGGAGAUAUGGGUCCUCAAAGAGGGAUUAUUUUUUUCAAAACUAUUCGGAUACCUAAGUGAUAGAUACCUAGCGAAAAAACCGCGAUUUUUUCAAAAAUACUCUCUCUUUGAGGACCCAUAUCUCCUCUCCAAGGGCAUCUCCAAAGCUUACAAUUUUUUCUGAGUUACUUUCAACUCAAAAUGAAAGUCUCCAGUCUCCAUUGAAUUUGGUCAAUAUCCUCCGAUACUUUUUUUUUGCGAUCCACUCUAAUGCACUUGAUUGUAAAUUCUAACGUAAAAUUCUAUAAGACUAACGAGGGAAUCACUCGAAGUUUACACUCUGAUUUGAAUGGGACUACGAUUUUUGGAAAGACCAUGGUCUGAAACCUUCAUAAUCAACGUUUUAGUUGCUCAAAUUGAUUUUUCAAUUUUUGGCGAAUGUUUGAAAAUCCUAAAUUGGAAAUUUAUAAGUUUUUUUUUUUUUUUUUUCCAAAAAAAUACAUGUAUUUAGUAAAAAUGAUUGAAAUCAGUCUUGAAAUUACUAAUACCAACUCUCGCGAACCAAAUUUCAUCAUUUCUUACUGUCCUGAAAUCUUCGGCACAAUUUCCGAUUUUUCCAGAAUUUUUGAAUUUCUUCAUAAUUUGAGUCGCUAUAAGAAUCGAGUUGCGGUUUAUUUAUUCUCAAUCUUCUUGAGUUUUUUUUUUCAUCAUGCCUAUUUUAUAAAGCAAGAUACUUAAAAAUCCAAAACUUUCUGUUCGUAGGGAACUUUUUUUAAAUUUCAACGAAUGGUUACAGGUACCCAUUUUGUCAAAAACCAACGCCCCGAAUUCGAAUUCCACUAUUUCGAACAGUUCUGGACUAGGGUGGAUCGUCUUUGAUUUUUUUUUUUUUUUUUUUUUUGGAGAACUGAGGGGGAGAUUCAGUAAAAAGUUGUAGAGGGACGUCAAAAAACUGCGGAAAAAUUUGGAAUUUUUUAUUCAAAUUUUAAAAUUUACAUUAGGUAGAAAUUGAAAAAAAAUUAUUCAAAAAUUUUUUUGGGCAAUGAUUGGUGAUAAUUAUUAUAUCCACUUGGAAGCUGGAACACCGCUUUUGAAAUUUUUCCACUUUUUAGCCAAAUUUUUGUAAGAAAAUGAUGGAAAUUGCGGUAGGAUCGACUUUUUAAAAGUUUUUCUACAAACUUUUGAAUGGGUUCAAAAUUGUAUCAUUUUUUGUAAGUCGUCUUGGUCUUGCAAAACCCUUGAAAGGCUGAAAAAAAAUGCAAAAACGGUUUUCUUAUUUCUAAGUGAAUAUAGGUAAUACUGCAUUAUCAAUACCUAAUAACCAAAAACAAAAAAAUUCAAAAAACUUUUUUUUUAAAUUUUCAAUGUAGAUUUAUUAUUUUAAAGAACCCCGGAAGAAAAUAAUUAGUUCAAGCCAGUGAUUCAAAAUUUUUUCGAUGGUCUUUUAAGGUCUUUCCACAACUUUUUGUCAAAUCCGCUCCCCAAUUUUCAGAAGAAAAAAAAUGUCAAUGACGACUCUCUCUAUUCUAGACCCUCAAGCACGAUCCAGAACUUGAAAUAUCUUCAAAAGGCGCGAAAAUACGAAUUUGAAUUUCAGAAGUGCCGGUCAAAAAACUUCUGGAAAUGGCGUUGAACAGCCCAAGAAUAAGCCACAACUUGAUUUUUAGCUGUACAAAUUCAUUCUUGCGAUUUUUGAAAAAAUUUAAUUGGUAGUUUUGGAGGAAUUGAAAAUUGCGCUGGAGGCGCUAAAUAACCAGAAAUAGUAGAAUUUCGUCCGGGGAGUUGAUACCAGUUUCAGGACUGAUUUUCAUCAUUUUUAUUGAAUUAAAAACAUGUAAGUAUCAAAAAAAAAACACGAAUUGCAAGUUUGGAUUUUUAAAAAUUCUUUACAAAUUAAAAAAUUAAUUUGGGUGCCCGAAAUUUUUAUUAUGAGGAUUUGUAGCUAAUCUAUCGCAUAUUUUGAGGUUUUGGAGAAUUUUUUGAAAAGGGGCCAAAAAGAGACCUUUGUCAGUUGGUACUCAUUUUUGAAAAAUAAUUCUCUUCGCAUUUUUCUACGUCAUUUCAAAUAAAUUUUGUGGAAAUUGGCUCGUAUUAAAAUUUCGCAAACAAAACCAUAGGUAUUUGUUUUACACAGCUGAUGGAUUAAUUCAACAAUUUCAAAUCGAAAAAAGAGCAUUUCUACUCCUUCACCAAUUCAUCAUUCAGUUACCCACCUUCACCAAUUCAUCAUUCAGUUACCUACUUUUAGGUAAAACCACUACCACUCAAGACCUCAUCAUAGCUGCUACGUUGCAAGAUCACCUGAAAACGUAAACUCUGGGUAAGUAAUCGAAGACCCGAAGAAAAAAAGAACAACUCGAUUCAAUUUCAUUACAAGAAUUUUAUUUCGGCUGUCAAAAAUUGCAUACUCUAAACAUAACAUAUAGGUAGGUGUUUUUAACAGAUGUUUUAUUACAUUAUGGUGCGACAAUUAAAUAAUCUUGAUACGUAAAGGCUAUCAUUGAAGAUGUAACAAAGUAAAAAAAAAAAAUUGAAAAAAAAAUAAACGAAAACGAAAAAAAUGGGUACGUUAGAAACUAAUAAAAACGAAUAAAUAUGGAAUGUAUAAAAGCGUGCAUUUGAUAAAAAUUAAAUAAGUAUUUCUGCUGAAUAAACAUAAAAAGUCGCUAUAUUUACAAUACUCCGAAUAAAUUAAAACUUAAAAAAAAUAUACACGUAAAAACAUAAAAGUAACUCUCAAUUUCCUACAAAAAAAUACUUUUUUUUAAUACAAAUAAAAACUCUAUAAAACCUACGAUACAGAAAGUUGGUACACAUAUCAAAAAGCAAAACGAAGAACGAAAUAAAUAAAGAAAAAAAAAAUAACGUAGGAGAAUACUGAUUUUGUUACAAGUUAAUAAUACUACCAAAACCUGGGUAAAUGAAUAAUAAGCGGGAAAUGCACUAAAAAACACGCGAUAGCUUAGAAAAAGAAAAUGAAGACUCAUAAGGCACUAAUUACGAUGCACGUAACAUUCAAACUACAUAAGCCAAAGA